rnacentral:lncRNA from 1 species
UUCUUGUCAUUAUCGGUGUUGGCAUCGUUGUCGUCAUCAUCAUCGUCGUCGUCCUUGUUGUUGUUGUUGUUGUUGUUGUUGUUGUCGUUGUCGUCGUCGUUGUUGUUGUUAUUGUUGUGGUUUUGUUGUUAUUUGUUGUUGUUUUUGUCGUUGUUGUUGUUGUUCUUGUCGUUGUUGUUGUUGUCGUCGUCGUCAUCAUCGUCGUCUUCGUUGUUGUUGUUGUUGUUUUUG